rnacentral:rRNA from 1 species
GACGAACGCUGGCGGCGUGCCUAAUACAUGCAAGUCGACCUUAGUGGCGACCGGGUGAGUAACACGUGGGUAACCUACCCAGCAGAGGGGGAUAACACUUGUAAACAGGUGCUAAUACCGCAUACUGAUGGAUGGACCCGCGGUGCCGUAGCUAGUUGGUGAGGUAACGGCUCACCAAGGCCACGAUGCCUAACUGACCUGAGAGGUUGAUCGGUCACAUUGGGACUGAGACACGGCCCAGACUCCUACGGGAGGCAGCAGUAGGGAAUCUUCGGCAAGUGACGAAAGUCUGACCGAGCAACGCCGCGUGAGUGAAGAAGGUUUUCGGAUCGUAAAACUCUGUUGUUAGAGAAGCGGUAUCUAACCAGAAAGCAACGGCUAACUACGUGCCAGCAGCCGCGGUAAUUC